rnacentral:rRNA from 1 species
GUGAAAGACGGUCUUGCUGUCACUUAUAGAUGGAUCCGCGCUGCAUUAGCUAGUUGGUAAGGUAACGGCUUACCAAGGCAACGAUGCAUAGCCGACCUGAGAGGGUGAUCGGCCACACUGGAACUGAGACACGGUCCAGACUCCUACGGGAGGCAGCAGUAGGGAAUCUUCCGCAAUGGGCGAAAGCCUGACGGAGCAACGCCGCGUGAGUGAUGAAGGUCUUCGGAUCGUAAAACUCUGUUAUUAGGGAAGAACAUAUGUGUAAGUAACUGUGCACAUCUUGACGGUACCUAAUCAGAAAGCCACGGCUAACUACGUGCCAGCAGCCGCGGUAAUACGUAGGUGGCAAGCGUUAU